rnacentral:rRNA from 1 species
CCUACGGGGGGCAGCAGUCGAGAAUCAUUCACAAUGGGGGAAACCCUGAUGGUGCGACGCCGCGUGGGGGAAUGAAGGUCUUCGGAUUGUAAACCCCUGUCAUGUGGGAGCAAAUUAAAAAGAUAGUACCACAAGAGGAAGAGACGGCUAACUCUGUGCCAGCAGCCGCGGUAAUACAGAGGUCUCAAGCGUUGUUCGGAAUCACUGGGCGUAAAGCGUGCGUAGGCUGUUUCGUAAGUCGUGUGUGAAAGGUGCGGGCUCAACCCGCGGACGGCACAUGAUACUGCGAGACUAGAGUAAUGGAGGGGGAACCGGAAUUCUCGGUGUAGCAGUGAAAUGCGUAGAUAUCGAGAGGAACACUCGUGGCGAAGGCGGGUUCCUGGACAUUAACUGACGCUGAGGCACGAAGGCCAGGGGAGCGAAAGGGAUUAGAUACCCCAGUAGUC